rnacentral:tRNA from 3 species
GGGGGUAUAGCUCAGUGGUAGAGCAUUUGACUGCAGAUCAAGAGGUCCUUGGUUCAAAUCCAGGUGCCCCCU